CAAAUUAAACCUACAUUAGUUGGUGUGUGUCUUAACACACUGGAUUCUACUCAAGUCUCUCCUACAAAACCUCUUUCUGCUAAAGUUACAUUUUUCCUUUCACACAAAUGAAGAUCGCUUCGUUUUCACUUCUUCGGCUUCCUUUGACCGUUUCCGCCACUCGUCAUCGCUUCUUCUCCGCCUUCAUCGUCGCCGCCGGCCGUCGCCAAAACCCUAACAAUGUCUCAAGGAAGCUCCAACAACCGACCAAAAAUCUACUCAAAGCUCGUGAAACUAUCAAUAACCAUUUCUCUACUCUGGCACCUAUUCUUUCUCUGGAAGAAAAGCCUCAACUUUCUCACGACCAAGCCGUAGGAACUGUAGCCUCUUCACAAGCGAAUUUCAUGCGCGUUAUAGUCCAACAUAUUCCUCCAGAAACUUCUGUGGAUCCUUCUGGAAGCUUCAGUAAGGGUUCGGGGGAAAUUGGAGUUGAGUUGUUGUGUGUGGUGAAGGCUGUGUUGAAGAAGAUUAAGAGGAGAGUUUUGGUUGGGGAUAAGGUUUUGGUAGGUUCUAUUGAUUGGGUGGAUAGACGCGGAGCUAUUGAGAAUGUGUUUCAGAGGAAGACAGAGAUUUUGGAUCCUCCUGUAGCUAAUGUGGAUCAUUUGCUAGUGUUGUUCUCUAUGGAUCAGCCAAAAAUUGAGCCAUUCUCACUCACUAGGUUCCUCGUAGAAGCUGAAUCAACCGGAAUUCCUCUUACUCUUGCCUUGAAUAAAUCAGAACUUGUUUCUCAAGAGGAAAUAAAAGCAUGGAAAUCUAGGCUUCGUAGUUGGGCCUAUGAACCAAUCUUUUGCAGCGUUGAUUCCAAGCGUGGACUUGAUACACUCCAGUUUAUUAUGAGAGAACAAACAUCUGUCAUUGUUGGUCCAAGUGGUGUGGGAAAAUCCAGCCUGAUCAAUGCUUUAAGAGACAACAAACACAUUCUUGGUGCAGUCGAAGAGAAAAACUGGUUUGAUCCUCAGAUUCUAGGGAGCAAGUGGUAUGAAGAGCAGCGUGUGGGGGAAGUGUCAGUAAGAAGUGGCAGAGGAAAGCAUACGACGAGGCACGUGUCUUUGCUUCCAUUGCCUGAUGGGGGGUAUCUUGCUGAUACGCCAGGAUUUAACCAGCCUAGUUUGAUUAAAGUGACAAAGAAUUCUCUUGCACAUCAUUUUCCGGAGAUCCGCAAAGUGCUUAAAGAUAGUGAACCUGCAAAGUGUGCAUUCAAUAAUUGCUUGCAUCUUGGUGAACCGGGCUGCCUUAUAAAAGGUGAUUGGGAAAGAUACCCAUAUUAUCUUCAGUUGCUUGACGAAAUUAAGAUCAGGGAGGAGUUUCAGUUGAGGACCAUUGGAACUAAACGAGAAAGUGAUGUUAGGUGCAAAGUAGGAGACAAGGGAGUUGUGCAAGCAGAACCGCGGCUAGAGCCCAAGAAAUAUAGGCGACAAUCUCGUAAAAGAGUGAACCAGUCAUUACUAGAUGAAUUGGAUGAACUCGACGACGAAGACGAUACACUAGAGGAUGACAAUCCUAUUCUAAGAGCAUUGAGGGAAGAAAAUAAAUAGAAAAGCUAAACAUUUGAAAAGAUUCUGAAAAUUUUCAGUAGGGAUGCAUGAAUCCUUUACACCUCAAUCCUUCUUGGCUUGUAAAUAGUGAUUUUGUUGUAACGUCUUGUUCAUAAGCUGAAAGUGAUCGACGGGACUGCCUAGAUGUUGUAGAUAACAAAUGUUCGGCUGGCACUGUGUCUCAAUGCUGUGGAAGCUCUCACGACGACUUAGUGCUGUACAUUUGAUAGAAAAAGGAUAUUACGAAGCCCUAUAUUGGAGUUCCAUCGUCUUUUUCGAUUGAAUAUUGUAUCCUAACGAGCGGGCAAAUGAUGUUUAACAAAUAACUGUAAAAAUUGUACUUUCCUUGGUGUUGGGUUGGAAACUCACUAGUAAUUGUUUUGGUAA